CUCUUCCCCGGCCCGGCCGGGCGGGACCAGUGCGCAGCCGGGGCUGGCGGGCAGCGGGGUCCGCGGGGCCGAGGGAGAUGACGGCCGGCGGCCAGGCCGAGGCCGAGGGCGCUGGCGGGGAGCCCGGCGCGGCGCGGCUGCCCACGCGGGUGGCCCGGCUGCUGUCGGCGCUCUUCUACGGUACCUGCUCCUUCCUCAUCGUGCUGGUUAACAAGGCGCUGCUGACCACCUACGGUUUCCCGUCACCAAUUUUCCUUGGAAUUGGACAGAUGGCAGCCACCAUAAUGAUACUAUAUGUGUCCAAGCUAAACAAAAUAAUUCACUUCCCUGAUUUUGAUAAGAAAAUUCCUGUAAAGCUGUUUCCUCUGCCUCUCCUCUACGUUGGAAACCACAUAAGUGGAUUAUCAAGCACAAGUAAAUUAAGCCUACCCAUGUUCACCGUGCUCAGGAAAUUCACCAUUCCACUUACCUUACUUCUGGAAACCAUCAUACUUGGGAAGCAGUAUUCACUCAACAUCAUCCUCAGUGUGUUUGCCAUUAUUCUUGGGGCUUUCAUAGCAGCUGGGUCUGACCUUGCUUUUAACUUAGAAGGCUAUAUUUUUGUGUUCCUGAAUGAUAUCUUCACAGCAGCAAAUGGAGUUUAUACCAAACAGAAAAUGGACCCAAAGGAGCUAGGGAAAUACGGAGUGCUUUUCUACAAUGCCUGCUUCAUGAUUAUCCCAACUCUUAUUAUUAGUGUCUCCACUGGAGACCUGCGACAGGCUACUGAAUUCAACCAAUGGAAGAAUGUUCUGUUUAUCCUACAGUUUCUUCUUUCCUGUUUUUUGGGGUUUCUGCUGAUGUACUCCACGGUUCUGUGCAGCUAUUACAAUUCAGCCCUGACGACAGCAGUGGUUGGAGCCAUCAAGAAUGUAUCCGUUGCCUACAUUGGGAUGUUAAUCGGUGGAGACUACAUUUUCUCUUUGUUAAACUUUGUAGGGUUAAAUAUUUGCAUGGCAGGGGGCUUGAGAUAUUCCUUUUUAACACUGAGCAGCCAGUUAAAACCUAAACCUGUGGAUGAAGAAAACAUCCAUUUGGAUUUGAAGAGCUAGAGUCUGCGGCAGGAUUGGAGACUGACUUGUGACUGGGGGAUGGGGGGCAUUCCCAGUAGGAAUGUGAAGCCAGAGGUUUCAGAUUCGUGACAUCCACCCCCUAGGCAAGUGAGAGCAUCUGCAAAAUGCAAAGAGAACUACCUCAUAUGCAUGCACGAUGAGCCAAUGGCAGUCUCAAGAAACGUACUUGGGCCACACCUUACCGGUGGAAAGCAAAUCUUUUGGAAAUAAGCCACUGGGACUCGCUCGGCUGGUGGCAGCUCUGCCUCAGAUGGGCAUAGCCAAAAAGGGGUCAUUCUCUUCUCAGUUCCUGGGGAACUAGAUCCAACUGGGAGAAGCAGACCACCAGAAUUUCUCAUCCUAUCUAAGUUGAAGAUGCUAUUUUUUAAAAAUUUAAUUGAAUUUAAGUUCUGGGAUAAAUGUGCAGGAUGUGCAGGUUGGUUACAUAGAUAAAUGUGUGCCAUGGUGGUUUGCUGCACCUAUCAACCUAUCACCUAGGUAUUAAGCCCCACAUGCAUUAGCUAUUUAUCCUGAUGCUCCCCCUCCCCCCACCCCCCUAACAGGCCCCAGUGUGUGCUGUUCCCGUCCCUGUGUCCAUGUAUUCUCAUUGUUCAACUCCCACUUAUAAGUGAAAACAUGCAGUGUUUGGUUUUCUGUUCCUGUGUCAGUUUGCUGAUGAUAAUGGCUUCUAGCUCCAUCCAUGUCCCUGCAAUGGACAUGAUCUCGUUCCUUUUGAUGGCUGCAUAGUAUUCUGUGGUGUGUAUGUACCAUGUUUUCUUUAUCCAGUCUAUCAUAGAUGGGCGUUUGGGUUGAUUCCAUGUUUUUGCUAUUGUGAAUAGUGCUGCAGUGAACAUACACAUGCUUGUAUCUUUAUUUUUUAAAAUCUUUUUUUUAAAAGACAGGGUCUGGCUCUGUUGCCCAGGCAGGAGUACAGUGGCAUUAGCUCACUGCAACCACUGCCUCCCAGGCUCAAGUGAUCUGCCCUCCUCAGCCUCUUAAGUAGCUAAGACCACAGGGACACACCGUUACACCUGGCUAAUUUUUGUAUUUUUAGUAGAGAUGGGAUCUUUUAUGUUGCCUAGUCUGGCCUUAAGUGAUCCUCCUGCCUUGGCUUCCCAAAGUGCUGUGAUUACAGGUGUGAACCACCGUGCCCAGCCAGAGAUGCUCAAUUCCUGGUGAGUGCAGCUAAGGGGCUAGGGCUCUCUCUACCAAGCCCCUAUCCAUUAGACGCAGGCUCUACCUCAAAUAUAGCAGGCCACAAAUACUGGGAUCCCCAUUACCCUUGCCCCAGCUCACUUGGAAGGCUGUUCCACACUGGGGAGAGAUGAUCUGACAAGGCCAGAGGCCACCACCCUGUCCAGCACCCAGAGGAGUGGCUCAGAGAGGCUGCCCAGGGAAGAUGCAGCCUGUGCAGUAAAGAAUUUAAUCUUGCGCAAAAAGAUGUCUGGUCUUUGCCCUAAGCUUCUUGGAAUAUGAUGCUAAAGUGGAGUGUCUCUGUUUGCCUGGGGACCUUGGGUUACAUUAGAUAGUCUAAUAAUGUGAUUUCAGAUGGGGGCUAGCUACACCAGAAAGACCAACAGUGUGGUUAAGGGUGAAGGCUUUGGGUGAUACCUGGGGGGUCCGGAGAUAGAGAUCAGCCAUGUGGGCAAUCAGUGAAGUUUAUGUAAUGAAGCCCUAAUAAAAACUCUGAACACUGA